GGGCGUCCAGCCGGCCCCGCUCCUCCUCCUCCCGGCCUCGCCCGUUCCUCCCCGUUUCCAGAACUCGGCAGCUCCCGAGGAGGCGCGUUCCGUCCAUCACCUCCCAGAUCCGCGCCGCCUCCUCUUAGGGGCAGCAAAUCCAAAUGCCUUCAGGGGCCAGACAAUGUGAGUCAAAUAGGUGUAAGACAGUAGAGGAGAUGGAGACAGAGACAGAGAUAGACUACCUAAAGGUAUUCAGAUUCAAAAAAUUAAAGCAGGCGGCUUCCUCACAAAGCUCAGCAGAGUCCUCGGAUGACCCAUCAGUUCCACCUCUAGGUGUAUACCUCAGAGAACUGAAAACAGGGACUCAAACAACUAUUGGUACACCAGUGGUCGCUGCAGGACUCUUCACAAUAGCCAAAGGUGGACACAGUCCAAACUGCCCAUCAGCGGAUGAAUGGAGGAGCACACUACGGUAUAUCAGUGCCGUGGAAUAUUAUUCAGCCGUAAAAAGGAAUGAGCUUCUGAUACCUGUUCCAGCUAAAUGUAAUAAACCAGACGCAGAGGGCCCCCAGUGGUAUCAUUCCAUUUCUGUGACGUAGGUAAAUCCCAAGAGACAAAGCAGAUUAGUGCCAGAGGCUGUAGGGAAGGAGAAAGGAGGGACAUUGUGAAUGGAGUUUCCUUUGUGGAUGAGGAAAUGUUUUGGAACAUGAAAGGUGGUGGUUGCACAACAUCGUGAGUGUACUAAGUGCCAUUGAAUUAGACGCUUUAAAAUGUU